GUGCCAGCAGCCGCGGUAAGACGAGGGAUCCUAGCGUUGUUCGGAAUCAUUGGGCGUAAAGCGGGUGUAGGUGGACUUAUAAGUCAGGUGUGAAAUCCCAGGGCUCAACCCUGGAAGUGCACUUGAUACUGCAAGUCUUGAGUGUGGUAGAGGUUACUGGAAUUCCUGGUGUAGUGGUAAAAUACGUAGAUAUCAGGAGGAAUACCGGAGGCGAAGGCGGGUAACUGGGCCAACACUGACACUGAGACCCGAAAGCGUGGGGAUCAAACAGGAUUAGAUACCCUGGUAGUCCACGCUGUAAACGAUGGAUACUUGUUGUUAGAGGUAUUGACCCCUCUAGUGACGUAGCUAACGCGAUAAGUAUCCCGCCUGGGGGGUACGGUCGCAAGAUUAAAACUUAAAGGAAUUGACGG
rnacentral:rRNA from 1 species